GGGUAAUAUCAAAAAGUGAGUCAAGUCAUUGUUUAUAGUGAAAAUAUGAGCGGACUAUUAUAUUGUGGCAAACACAGCAUUACAGUUGGAACUGAAAAACCUUUUACUGCAGCGGGCUAAAUCAGGGUCACACAGAGUGUUUCUUGGUAGUCUUAAACAAGUGUACUUUGAAACAAAAGUAUUCACCUCAAACACAUGGUUAUGGGCUUAAAAAAAGAAGACACCUGUACAAUGUCAGAUAUAGAGAUGAAAUGUAUUACAUUUUGAGUUUGCAUACAAAUAUUACACUUUAUACAUAUCACAGAAGACUGAAAUAUAACAAAACAGUUUGACAUAGAAACACCAGAUUAUCUGCAGCUUUUUUUUUUUUAAGUGUAUUAAUUAUGAAAUCAUGAAAAAUAUUAGUAACAUUCCACCCAUGAGGCCACUAAGUCAUUUGACUGCAGGAUACUUUGGCUGAAGGAAAUUGCUCAACAGAAUGAAACAAAACACUUGCAAACGGGUUUAAACCUUAACAAAAGUUUUGAACAAGCUAUAUUGCAGCAAUUACUAACAAAGACAAGUGGCUACCAUACCAAAAAUGACAGAAAUAGGCUAAGGUUAUAAGUAGGUCUGUUGUAAAAUAAAUAACAUAUCUUAAACUAAAGACGGAGCUCAAAAUUAAAAGACAGUUAACAUUUAAUUUAGCCAAUGAAAAUGUCUCAACAGAAUUAAACAAAACAGAUUUUGCAUAUUUAAAGAACUGUUUUCGAUUAAUAAAUAGGCUUACAAUAAUAACAAUGAUAUACAAUAAUUAUUAUUAUGAUAAAACUCUGAUGAUUAAACUAAAUGAUUAAACUACAUUUUAGUUCCAAAAUUGCAUCCUACCUGAAUAGGGAGUUGCACAGUAGUCUGCAUUCUUUUUAUCUUAGUCCACUACAAUAUUAAAACUCGUAUAAAAUUCCUCUUGUAGGCUUUUCAAUAUAGACAUCCUCUUUUUCAUCUAACUUUUGGUUGACUUGAAAAAGGCCUCCAUCUUUGCAAGUAUCUGUAGCCUAGGCCAAGCUCCUCUGUUCCUCUCUCUCUCCCUCUCCUCAGCAGCAGGCGCAUGUCUGAGCAAGGCGAGAGAGAUUGGUACUGAAGCGCCAAUUCGGGGUGUAGGCUAUGAUAGACAGCCUCUCCUGGACAAUUUGUCCUGCUACAAUUUUAUUUAUCUGCUUUAAUUUAAAAAAAUCUCAGCCAAAUGCAGGCAAUUACCAGCUAAGGGAACCCAUGGAGCAUUUUCCCAUCAGAGGGUGAUUUGAAAAGUCAUAGUGUUCCAUCAAAUGUACUUGUUGAAGAUAAAAGUAUGUGUGUAAAUAUGUAGUGCACAUGAAAAUUCCCAUGUAUCGAAUAAAUGUACCGGGUUUCCAUCACAUUUUCAAGUCUUACUUAUGGUUUUGUCACAAAACAUGUUGCGUAGCGAAUGUGCCCACUCUGGUAUUGGCGGGUGCGCUCCAGUUCUACUACAUGAUGAGAUUAUUAUGGACAGAAGUGCCAGAUUAUUUUCUUUCUUUUUUCAAAUGGGAGCCAAGCAUUGAUCACCAUGUCACCAAAACAAGAUCCUCGAUAUUUAUUGAAAGCAGCAUCAACUUCAUCACUGUGCAGUUUCACCACCCUGUGAAGUUCAUCUUAACUUAUUGCAUCUGUAUCCUAGUAAACUGCAUGCUUUCCCAUGACGUGGUGACAUUUUUCUAUCAGACAUGUAGGCUACUUUACUCGCAUAAAAAGGUUGAAAGGAAACCUGGUUAAUGUCAAGCCAUUUUGAGGAUGUUGGAAUUCUUGAAUGAAUGUGCGUAUGCCUACAUGAAGCUUUUGAAGUAGCCUAAUCUGAUUCAAACAUCGUGACUGGAUGUGUUUAUGCCAUAUAUAUAAAAGGUAAUACAUCUAAACAGUUACAUGAUACAUAUUUUGGCUAUAUUGAAGCGUUAGGUUCUAGGUGUUUGAAGAAUAGCCGGAGAGGAAGCAGAACGUGUUAAACUUUCCUGGAUAACUGGGCAUGCCGGGAGCAUAUGUGGCCACAUUAUUAUAGGACGACUUGGGUGAAUGAUUAUCUCAACAAACAGCGCAUUCAGUAUCAAAAGUAAAAAUACAGCCAGACUGGCCUGCUACUGUUCCUUUCUAGACCUUACAAACUGCCAAGAGUAGACCCACAACUCAUCCAAAUCUAAUGAAACAUUCAUAUCACAGUGCUUUUGCACUGUUAUUCAAAUGACUCUUUCACUGCAGCAUAGAGUAGGCUAGAAUGUUGACUCAACGCCACAAGAGCAAAGAACAUAUUUCAAACCUUGCAUGCUAGGGGGAGGUAGUUGCAAUAACGUUGGAAUGGUUUAGUCGACUUCCUCAAUAGUUGGUCCAGAAGAUCCACCGCCUCCAGAAACGGCGCCACCUGGUGUUGUAGGCUAGCAUAGGUAGGAUAAUUGUAUUGUCCCUAAACAAGAUCAGUAAGAUUUGAGUUGUGUGCCUCAUGGCUUCACUGUUCUUUCAUGCGCAAUGAUGCACCUGGCCUCUCCGCUGCCUAUCAGCUAAUCCUAUUUGUUCUUGUCCAUUCAUAUAAAAAAGAUGACAUCCUGCGACUAGUGAGGUCUGGCCGCCUGACAAUCUGCCUGCUUGACCCCAUCCCCUCCUCCAGACCAUCUCUGGAGGCCUUCUCCCACUCCUCACUUCCCUCACUUCCCUCAUCAACUCAUCCCUGACCACUGGCUGUGUCCCCUCUGACUUCAAAAUGGCCCGAGUUGCUCCCCUCCUCAAGAAACCAACACUCGACCAACAUCUGACAUCCAAACAACAUCUGACGUCAAAAACUAUAGACCUAUCUAUCCGCUGCCUUCGACUCCGUGAACCAUCAAAUCCUCCUCUCCACCCUUUCAGGGAUGGGUAUCUCAGGCUCUGCAGACUCUUGGUUUGCAUCCUACCUGGCAGGCCGCUCCUACCAGAUGACGUUGAGAGGAUUUGUGUCUGCACCACGGACUCUCACUACUGGUGUCCCCCAGGGCUGUGAGAUGUGGUUGUCCCACCUAGCUAUCUUAAGAUGAUAGCACUAACUAUACAGUCUUGUCCCAACGCUGCAACUCCCCUAUGGACUCGGGAGAGGCGAAGGAUGAGAGCCAUGUGUCCUCCGAAACACAACCCUGUCAAGCCAUAUUGCUUGUUGACACACUCCUCGCUUAACCCGGAAGCCAGCCGUACCAAUGUGUCGGAGGAAACACCAUCCAGCUGGCGACCGAAGUCAGCCACAAGGACCCGGAACGCCACAAGGAGUCACUAGAGCACGAUAGGACAAGGAAAUUCCAUCUGGCCAAACCCUCCCCUAACCUGGACGAUGCUGGACCAAUUGUGCGUCGCCUCAUGGGUCUCUCGGUCGUGGCCGGCUAUGAUACAGCCUGGGAUUGAAGCCGGCUCUGUAGUGAUGCCUCAAGCACUGCAAAGCAGUGCCUUAGACCGCUGCACCACUUGGAAGGCAGUCUAAACUCUUUUGACCGAAACUGCUUUGUUUUAAAGAUGAACAUUGCAUUGCAUGGCCUCUGAAGACACAUUUGGAAGGGUACCAUACAGUAAGGGGAUCUGCUGUACCUGUAUAUUGUGGGUGAAAAAUUCAGUUAUAAAUGAUUUUGUCUUAGUUAAGAACAAAUUGUCAUCCAGUAGGCCUUGAUUACAUUUCCAUUACCCCGUCCACAUGGAAAUUCUGUAAGAAUUAUGUGGAGGCUAAUUAGAUGGUGGUCCGAUCGCAUUCUGUCUCCUACCAAUACUUUUUUAAACUUUUGGUGCCAGAGAGAAUAACACAAUCAAUUAUUCAAGAUGGCUAGCUUGAUUAAGUCUCCUCCAUGUAUAUCUCACUAGGUCUGUUUUUUUUGUUGCCUCCAUAUAUCCACUAGUACUAACGUGGGGCGGUAGGUAGCCUAGUGGUUAGAGCGUUGGGCCAGUAACCGAAAGGUUGCUGGAUUGAAUCCCCGAGCUGACAAGGUAAAAAUCUUGAACAAGGCAGUUAACCUGCUGUUCCCCGUUAAGCCGUCAUUGUAAAUAAG
rnacentral:lncRNA from 1 species